rnacentral:rRNA from 1 species
AAUAUUGCACAAUGGGCGCAAGCCUGAUGCAGCCAUGCCGCGUGUGUGAAGAAGGCCUUCGGGUUGUAAAGCACUUUCAGUCGUGAGGAAGGCGGUGUAGUUAAUAGCUGCAUCGUUUGACGUUAGCGACAGAAGAAGCACCGGCUAACUCCGUGCCAGCAGCCGCGGUAAUACGGAGGGUGCGAGCGUUAAUCGGAAUUACUGGGC